AUUGAACGCUGGCGGCAGGCCUAACACAUGCAAGUCGAACGGUAACAGAAAGCAGCUUGCUGCUUUGCUGACGAGUGGCGGACGGGUGAGUAAUGUCUGGGAAACUGCCUGAUGGAGGGGGAUAACUACUGGAAACGGUAGCUAAUACCGCAUAACGUCGCAAGACCAAAGAGGGGGACCUUCGUGCCUCUUGCCAUCGGAUGUGCCCAGAUGGGAUUAGCUAGUAGGUGGGGUAACGGCUCACCUAGGCGACGAUCCGUAGCUGGUCUGAGAGGAUGACCAGCCACAUUGGAACUGAGACACGGUCCAGACUCCUACGGGAGGCAGCAGUGGGGAAUAUUGCACAAUGGGCGCAAGCCUGAUGCAGCCAUGCCGCGUGUAUGAAGAAGGCCUUCGGGUUGUAAAGUACUUUCAGCGGGGAGGAAGGGAGUAAAGUUAAUACCUUUGCUCAUUGACGUUACCCGCAGAAGAAGCACCGGCUAACUCCGUG
rnacentral:rRNA from 1 species